rnacentral:rRNA from 1 species
CCGUGAAGAUGCGGGUUACCCGCGACAGGACAAAAAGACCCCGUGGAGCUUUACUAUAACCUGGCAUUGGAUCGAAGCUAGAGCUGUGUAGCAUAAGUGGGAGGCUUUGAAGUUGGGGCGUUAGCCUCGAUGGAGCCGCCAGUGAAAUACCACUCUUCUCGUGUUUUGUUUCUAACCUGCGAUCAAGCGCAGGGACCGUGUCAGGCGGGUAGUUUGACUGGGGCGGUCGCCUCCUAAAGAGUAACGGAGGCGCGCAAAGGUCCCCUCAGGGUGGAUGGAAAUCACCCAUCGAGUGCAUUGGCAUAAGGGGGCUUGACUGUGAGACCUACAAGUCGAGCAGGAGCGAAAGCUGGCCAAAGUGAUCCUACGGUUCCGAGUGGAAGGGCCGUGGCUUAUCGGAUAAAAGCUACCCCGGGGAUAACAGGCUUAUCUCGCCCAAGAGUUCACAUCGACGGCGAGGUUUGGCACCUCGAUGUCGGCUCGUCGCAUCCUGGGGCUGAAGAAGGUCCCAAGGGUUGGGCUGUUCGCCCAUUAAAGCGGUACGCGAGCUGGGUUCAGACCGUCGUGAGACAGGUCGGUCUCUAUCCGUCGUGGGCGGAGGAGACUUGAGAGAAGCUUUCCCUAGUACGAGAGGACCGGGAAGGACGAACCGCUGGUGUACCAGUUGUCUCGCCAGAGGCACCGCUGGAUAGCUAAGUUCGGACAGGAUAAGCGCUGAAAGCAUCUAAGCGCGAAGCCUCCCUCAAGAUGAGGUCUCCCAUCUUUUCGGCUUCGGCCGCAAAGAGUAAGGGCGCAGCAAGACUAGCUGCUUGAUAGGCCGCAGGUGUAAGCACAGUAAUGUGUUCAGCUGAGCGGUACUAAUCGCCCGAGGGCUUGACCUAAGU